CAUAAACCAGCAUAAUUCUCACCCCAAAAAUGUGCCUAUAUAUAUUAUACUGUAAUUUAUCGGACACUUCACGUGCUCUAUAUCAGAUCUGUUCCAAUUAUACCUGGACAAUUUUCUAACCAGUUUCAUUCUUGUGCUUGGAGAGCUGAGUGGUGUGAGUGGGUGUGGUGACCGAGUGUCCUCCCUCCUCCCCCUCUGUGCUGAGACACUACAACACAGACACUACCCUCAACACAUCAACCUCCUGGAGACACUGCUUAAACUGUUGCCAGUGUUUGCCAAGUCGCUGGGUAAGAGAGUGUUCAAGAGACACGUCGAUCUAUUCCUGAACUCUAUCCUGGAGUGCCUAUACAGAGCAGUGACAAUGCCUGGUACAGCCUGCUGGAGUGGACUAGCUGUCUCACCUCACCCUGUAACAACACAAUCCAACGUGAAUCUUUGCGUAAUGGCAGACUGUCUACAUGUGUGUAGCUUAUACAAGUACAUUGCAAUUGCUUAUUUUUCUUAUGUAAUGAUGCACUUCCUUUUCACUGUAUAUAGGUGGUUGACAGAACAGUAACUGAACAAUGUGUACUCGUUUCUUUGUUGAUAUUAUUAAUGAAUGUGCUAUAAUUAUUAUUGUCAAACA